rnacentral:rRNA from 1 species
CCUACGGGGUGCAGCAGUGGGGAAUAUUGCGCAAUGGGCGAAAGCCUGACGCAGCGACGCCGCGUGAGGGAUGAAGGUCUUCGGAUCGUAAACCUCUGUCAGCAGGGAAGAACGGUCACUGUGCUAAUCAGCAGUGAAUUGACGGUACCUGCACAGGAAGCACCGGCUAACUCCGUGCCAGCAGCCGCGGUAAUACGGAGGGUGCGAGCGUUAAUCGGAAUUACUGGGCGUAAAGCGCUCGUAGGCGGUAUGUCAAGUCAAGGGUGAAAUCCCCGCGCUCAACGUGGGAACUGCCUUUGAAACUGGCAAACUGGAGUGUGUGAGAGGAUAGUGGAAUUCCAGGGGUAGGAGUGAAAGCCGUAGAUAUCUGGAGGAACAUCAGUGGCGAAGGCGACUAUCUGGCACAUAACUGACGCUGAGGAGCGAAAGCGUGGGUAGCAAACAGGAUUAGAUACCCCUGUAGUC